GACCGCGUAGCUCAGUUGGCAGAGCAUUGGGCUAGUAUUCCAAAGGUCGUAGGUUAGAUUUCUACCGUGGCCG